GGAACAGGGUGGGAGUCGGGGAGGGCGCUAAUGGAAACUAGUGAGGUGAGGUGAAGAGAGUAGAAAAAAUACCUACAGGGAAGAAAGCACAAACUGUCAGACAAUGCAGAGCUAACCCCUGGUGACUUUUAUUGGCCCAGAGAAAAGGCAGGAGGAAAAGGAUUAUAGGAAUAUAUGUAGUUACUAUUUUUCAAUCAUUUGUAUACAUCAGGGUUCCCUGACAAACUCCCCCCCCCAUAAAACCAAACCCAUUGCCAUCAAGUCGAUUCCAACUCAUAGUGACCCUAUAGGAGAGAGCAGAACUGCCCCAUAGAGUUUCCAAGGAGUGCCUGGUGGGUUUGAACUGCAGACCUUUUGGUUAGCAGCUGUAGCACUUAACCACUACCCACCAGGGUUCCCCCCAAUCCCCCCACCUGCCAUGAUGUUCUAAUACAGAUCCCUUUACUAUUGAGGGAAGCCCUUGUGGUAUCGUGGUUAAGAGCUACAGCUGCUAACUGAAAAAUUUGGCAGUUCAAAUCUACCAGGCACUCCUUGGAAACCCUAUGGGGCAGUUCUACUCUGUUCUAUAGGGUCACAAGGGUUUUUGGGUGUUUUACUAUUGAGAGGUAAAGCACCUUUGAAAGCCACAGUGAUAUCCCUCCUUCUGUAUCCUCUUCUGAAUUCGGCCUGAAUUUCUGGCUGUUCCCUGUCGAAGUACUGUUACAACUCUUUUUGAAUUACCUUCAGCAAAAUUUUACUUGUGUGUAUAAUUUCCAUAUUCUGUUGGAUCACCUUUCUUUAGAUUGGGCACAAAUUGGAUCUCUUCCAGUAGGAUUACCAGAGGAGUGAGCGCUUCCAGUGCUGCAUCUGUUUGUUGAAACAUCUCAACUGGCAUUUUAACAAUUCCUGGAGCCUUAUUUUUCUCUAAUGCUUUCAGCACGGCUUGGACUUCUUCAGUACCAUCGGUUCCUAAUUAUAUGCUACUUCCUUAAAUGGUUGAACGCCUUCCAUCUUUUUAUGUUCCCUGUGUCAUUCAAUUUUUUGGCCACAUAAUCCUUCAAUAUUGCAACUCGAGGCUUGAACUUUUUCUUCGGUUCUUUCAGCUUGAGAAAUGUUGAGCAUGUUCUUCCCUUUCAUUUUCUAACUCCAGGUCUUUGCACAUUUCAUUAUAAUACUUUACCUUGUCUUCUUGAGCCAGAGCCACCUUUUGAAUCCUGUUCAUCUCUUUUACUUUAUUUCUUCCAUUCAUUUUAGCUACUCUAAGUCCAAGAGUAAAUUUUAGAGUCUCUUCUGAUGUUCAUUUUGGUCUUUUCUUUAUUUUUUGUCUUUUUGACGAUCUUUGCUUUCUUCAUGUAUGAUGUACUUGAUGUCAUCCUAAAACAGGUCUGGUUUUCAUUAGUGUUCAAUGUGUCAAGUCUAUUCCUGAGACGGUCUCUAAAUUCAGGGGUGACAUACUCAAGGUCAUACUUUGGCUUUUGUGGUCUUGUUUUUUCUUCAGCUUCAACUUGAAUUUACAUAGGAUCAAUUGAUGGUCUGUUCUGAAUUCGGCCUCUGGCCUUGUUCUGACUAAUGAUAUUAAGCUUUUCCAUCAUCUCCUUCCACGUAUAUAGUCGACUAUAUCCACAAAGAUUAGAACCUGGGAAACCCUAGGGUGCAAUCCUACUCUGUCACUUGGGGUCACUAUGAGUCGGAAUUGAUUCGAUAGCAAUGAGUUUGGUUUGGUUUUAAUUUAAUGGACCUGGGAAGGAGAGCAAUUUGGGGGACCCUGGAUUGUACAAGACUGAUUAUUGUCCAGAAUCAUGCUGCUAGUGCUGGAGCAGAGACUGAAACCUAGGUCCUCAACCAGAGGAAUGCAUGAGGGAUAUCUGAAAGAUUAUUUGGGAUGUGGGUGAGAGGCAGGCCAAAGAUAGUUGCCCAAUUCUUUAUUUUUACUUUCUCUAUUUUGUCUUUUUCUGGUGAAUUCCUAAGUUAAAACAACUUCAAAAUGUGUGUGUAGAUGUGUCGUAAUAAAGUACCAGUCUCCAGAAUUCUACUAUUUGAAUUGAAAAGUAGUUACAUCACUUCGUAGAUCAGUGUCCCUCAGAAAGUCAUCUAACGUCUCUAGGCCUUAUUUUAUCAUCUCUGAAGUGAAGCCAAACGAACUCUCAUUUUACCAGGUAGCUUUCAUGAAUACUUUCAAUAAUAAAAGUUAAUGUUGAGACAGUAUCUGGCAGAAAAUAAUUUUCUUUAUUAUCAUCAUUAUUAUAAUCAUUAUUAUUGACAUUGUCAUGGAUAGAAACAACUUAAUGAGAACAAAUGCAAAAUGGUGCUUUUUUUCAUGUAUUUUUCUGUAUGUGGAUUAUUUUUUCCUUUGUAUAUCAUAGCUAUGUCCAAAAAGCUCUAUAAUACAUACUUUUUCAUCUGUGUCAAACAUUUUGUUGACAAAAGCAUCAGUGGAUCCAAUAGAGAUUUCUUUGAUUAGUUGUCUUUAGUGUAAUAAAUUCUGAUUACUCCCCACAUUUAGCAAACAUAUUUUCAUAUUCUACCAUGUGCCAGGUGCUGCUAUGGGGGCCACUCACAGAGAGGUAAGAACUGGCUGCCGCUUUCAUGGGCCUUACAUUUUAGUGUCAGAGUAAGGACACAGUCAAGAGACUGUUGAGAAUGCGUCAUCCCUUCAGUAGCUGAUUUGAACACCUGAAAGAACAGUUCUGAAUGUGAUGUCUCCCUUUAAAGCCCCUAUUUGCUUUGUUUUGCCAUUGUUCAUUUUUCUUUUGUUUGAGCUGAAGAGAAAAAUACAGCAGUAAAAAAUAAUGAGAAGUGAAACUGAAAAAAAGAACAACAGGAUAGACACUAGAGAAGAGAGAAGAUUAGAAGUUCUAGUUAAUUGGAAGGCUUGUGGUAGCAACAUUGGACCCUCACUGGUAAGUUGAGGAUAUUCAAGUAGAAGAGCUCUGCCUCAGUGGCUAGAAGGGUGGGGCCAACUGAGAAUAGUCUGAGCCCAGUGACAGCUGAAGUCCACUGUAGAUAUGAGGGGCAGCUCAGCUGGGUUGUAAGUGCUCCAGAAAGGAGUCACUGUAGUGAGAACCAGCAAUGCGUGAGCCUGCAGGUGAUCAGCAUCAAUCACCAAAAAGGUUUAACAGCAAAAUGAUAAUAAUAGCAGGCAUGAACCGAAGAGGCAUCUGGCAGGGCUCUCUUGCUCGGGUGUAAAUGUUAAAAGAAUUCCCCUUUGGGUUAUCUAAGCCACUGAUGCUCCAAGAGAAUCCUGAAUGGUAAACCCAGAACAUUCAUACUAGAUAUUUGCUAAAUCUGACAUUGAGUGCUCAAUAAAUUUAAAAAUAUAUUUUGUAUAUAUAUUGAUUUUACACACACACACGUUAUAAACAUACUCUUCCAUACUCUAAAUUGAUUUUAUUGUGAUAAAUAUGUGUAACAAGACAUUUGCCAUUUCAACAUUCUUCAUAUGUACAGUUCAGUGACAACAAUUAUGUUCUUCAUGUUGUCCCACCAUCGCUCUUAUCUAUUCCCAAAUGUUUCCAUCAACCUUAAGAAAAGAACAGUGUUUUUUUCCGCACUGUGUGCCUUACCACCCGAAGCAGCUGAUUCUGAAGAGAAGUGGAGAGAACUUUCCCAGGUCCAGGACUGUGUCCUCCCCAAGGAACCACAAUGGGCCCUGACUGCAGGACCCUUUGGAGUCCAGUGAGUUUCCACCCACCAACCCAGCUUAUCCUGCUCUCUCCCCUCACCCCUUGCCCUAGGAUUCUCCUUCUACAGCCAAUCCUGCAUCAAUCAGGCAGGUUUCAGCUGGGAGAUCAGUUUCUGUUAAAGGUUUGAAAAAAACCACACUCAGAAGACCAACUGGCUCCUAAGGAGAAAGACGUUUUGAAGCUGUCUUGACCACCCACUUAUCUCUGAAACUAACAAGAAAAGCCACCCAGGUACACCACAUGAGAGUAAAGGCAGCCCCACCAGAAAAAAAAAGAACAGAAUAGAAAAAAACUGAAGAGUCAUCAUACACUUGUACUCCUGUCCAAGACCUAAAAUAUAAGUUCAUUAAAACGCUAAAGUAACGAUCUUAACUUUCAUUCUUCUUUUAUUCCGGAGAAGCUAUCACUCUGCCUCCGGGAAAAUGGAUCAAGCUCCUACAAGUCUUCAAUCCAGAGAAACUUUAACCUAACCCACCCAUGUGUAAUUUCCCCUCUGAACCUGGUUGGCCCUGUCAAAUAGAUUCAAAAAUUUUCAGAGAGAAGACAAAUAGUAGUUUGAGAGGCUAAGAAUAAGUCUCCCCGAGUAGGCCCGAUGGCUGACACAGAAAAACCAAGACGUUUUGAUUUCCAUUUGUGUUUCUUGUUUUAUAAAAAUAAUGGUAAAAGACUACAAGCACCCUCAAGGCUAGAAAAAUUUUGCCCUGGUAAGCCAAGGUGCCCCUUCAUCAGAUUAUGAAAAUGCACAUAAUUUAAUUCACCAGGAGGCAGUUGACUUCUACUCUAAUUUACCCUCGUUUAUCACCCUUAGUGGGUACUGGAAGUUCUCACCCCAGUCGGCAGCCCCUGAUCAACAAGAAGUAGUCAAAGAGGCAGGGCCAAGAUGACAGAGCAGUCAGACGCUUCCUGGGAACCUCUUACAACAAAGACCCGAAAAUAAAAGUAAAACAGUUACAUUUAUGACAAGCUAGAAGCCCUGAACAUCAAAGGCAAAGUUAGAAAAUGGGCCGAGCAGCAGGGGGAGGGACAAAUGGUUCAGAAGCGGAGAAAAGUAGCCAGGAUCCCUCAGGCACCAUUCCCUGGAGCAGCUGCAAUGGGCUGCUGGUAGUGUUUGGCCGCAGUUUCCUCAGGGAGAAACAGCCAGCCGCACAGCCUACUCACAACUCCAGAACCAGAGAAGAAUGGCGCUCUUGGCAAAAGCUAAGUACUUGCAUAUAUUUUAGAACGCUACCAGCCCUGAAGCCUGCUUCAGUGGCUGUCGGUUUCCCUGGGCCUGAGAUUGGUCCAUUUGCAUGCCCUGAGCCAUUGUCCCGGCCUUGGAGAAGGAAUAAAUUCACAACUGGGGAAAAGAUAAUCUGCCAGCCCCACUAACCUGGGGAGCUCAGGACAGAAGCAGCUCCUGUCCAGGCAUAAACGGUCCGUGGACUUUGAAUAUCUUUCCCCUCUGCAUGGACAUGUGUGGGCCUAUAUCAGAAGAAUAGGCUCUUGUUGGCAGACUGUAACUGUUCCAGCUGUGCACUGGAGAGGUGAGUGUUUGAUGUUUGACACCACUUUGCUUAUUAAACAGGGUCCUCACCUACCCACAUCAGGGCCCUAAGGCCUGGUGUCUCCAUUCGGGGCACCCGCCCAUCUGCGACAGGGAUCCAAGAAUAACUGGUACCUCAGAGUCCUUAUAACCAAAAGCACUGGGUGCCCAAGGUCCGUCUACAGAACUCACCCACCUGUGCACUGUAGGGAACAGGGACAUGCUUUCAUCACAGACACUUGGGGGACAGCUGUCAGCCCCCUGCCUUGUUCAGAAUGUGACCCCUUCUGCUGCAACCAGAUACGGUAUCUACACCAAUCCCCCCUGCCUCUCUAAGACUGUAGGACAGAGGCUGUACCACACACUUGAUGACCAACUACCUGGACACCUGAGCUGAAGCCAUACAAGAAGAGUGAAUGGACUCCUAGGCUCAUAUACCUGGUAACAGCUCUAGCCAUCUGGUGACAGGGCAUUAGAGCUUCAAAGGUGAAAAUAAUCAAGCUAGCUAGCUUACUCAACCUAUCUGGACAUAUCAAAGCAAAACAAAGCAAGAAACUAGGAUAUAGUAAGCACUCAUAAAAUAAACUAAUACAGUAACUUAUAGAUGGCAUGGAGACAAGAGUCAAUAUCAAAUCACAUAAAGAAGCAGACCAUGAUCACUUCAACAACCUCUCAAAAUAAAGAAUCCAGGGAUCUUCUGGAUGAAGGCACCUUCCUGGAAUUACCAGAUGCAGAAUAAAAAAGAUUUAUACACAGACCUCUUCAAGACAUCAGGAAGGAGGUCAGGCAAUACACAGAACAAGCGAAGGAACACACAGAUAAAGCAGAUGAAGAAAUUAACAAGGUUAUUCAAGAACAUAAUGAAAAAUUUAACAACCUGCAAGAAUCCAUAGAGAGACAACAAUCAGAAAUUCAGAAGAUUAACAAUAAAAUUACAGAAUUAACAACUCAACAGAAAGUCAGAGGAGCAGAAUGGAGCAAG